rnacentral:rRNA from 1 species
CCUACGGGGGGCAGCAGUGGGGAAUAUUGGACAAUGGGGGCAACCCUGAUCCAGCCAUGCCGCGUGUGUGAAGAAGGCCCUCGGGUUGUAAAGCACUUUCAGUGAGGAAGAACGCCUGGUGGUUAAUACCCAUCAGGAAAGACAUCACUCACAGAAGAAGCACCGGCUAACUCCGUGCCAGCAGCCGCGGUAAUACGGAGGGUGCGAGCGUUAAUCGGAAUUACUGGGCGUAAAGCGCGCGUAGGUGGCUUGAUAAGCCGGUUGUGAAAGCCCCGGGCUCAACCUGGGAACGGCAUCCGGAACUGUCAAGCUAGAGUGCAGGAGAGGAAGGUAGAAUUCCCGGUGUAGCGGUGAAAUGCGUAGAGAUCGGGAGGAAUACCAGUGGCGAAGGCGGCCUUCUGGACUGACACUGACACUGAGGUGCGAAAGUGUGGGUAGCAAACAGGAUUAGAUACCCGGGUAGUC